GGAGGCGGCGACGCCCCCCCGACUUGAGGCUGGCGAUAGCCGGCCUGCCGUCUCCGCAACCCCCUUUUCUGUCGAGCCUUCAGGCGGAUCGGAUCACCGACCCGCCU
rnacentral:sRNA from 1 species